UCGCGGCCUAUCAGUUUGUUGGUGAGGUAAUGGCUCACCAAGACGACGACGGGUAGCCGGCCUGAGAGGGCGACCGGCCACACUGGGACUGAGACACGGCCCAGACUCCUACGGGAGGCAGCAGUGGGGAAUAUUGCACAAUGGGGGAAACCCUGAUGCAGCGACGCAGCGUGCGGGAUGACGGCCUUCGGGUUGUAAACCGCUUUCAGCAGGGAAGAAGCCUUUAUCGGUGACGGUACCUGCAGAAGAAGUACCGGCUAACUACGUGCCAGCAGCCGCGGUAAUACGUAGGGUACAAGCGUUGUCCGGAAUUAUUGGGCGUAAAGAGCUCGUAGGUGGUUGGUCACGUCUGCUGUGGAAACGCAACGCUUAACGUUGCGCGUGCAGUGGGUACGGGCUGACUAGAGUGCAGUAGGGGAGUCUGGAAUUCCUGGUGUAGCGGUGAAAUGCGCAGAUAUCAGGAGGAACACCGGUGGCGAAGGCGGGACUCUGGGCUGUAACUGACACUGAGGAGCGAAAGCAUGGGGAGCGAACAGGAUUAGAUACCCUGGUAGUCCAUGCCGUAAACGUUGGGCACUAGGUGUGGGGGACAUUCCACGUUCUCCGCGCCGUAGCUAACGCAUUAAGUGCCCCGCCUGGGGAGUACGGUCGCAAGGCUAAAACUCAAAGGAAUUGACGGGGGCCCGCACAAGCGGCGGAGCAUGCGGAUUAAUUCGAUGCAACGCGAAGAACCUUACCAAGGCUUGACAUACACCAGACCGUUCUGGAAACAGUUCCUCCCCUUUGGGGUUGGUGUACAGGUGGUGCAUGGUUGUCGUCAGCUCGUGUCGUGAGAUGUUGGGUUAAGUCCCGCAACGAGCGCAACCCUCGUUCUAUGUUGCCAGCACGUGAUGGUGGGAACUCAUAGGAGACUGCCGGGGUCAACUCGGAGGAAGGUGGGGAUGACGUCAAAUCAUCAUGCCCUUUAUGUCUUGGGCUUCACGCAUGCUACAAUGGCUGGUACAGAGAGAUGCGAGACCGCGAGGUUUUAGCGAAUCCCUUAAAGCCAGUCUCAGUUCGGAUCGUAGUCUGCAAUUCGACUACGUGAAGUCGGAGUCGCUAGUAAUCGCAGAUCAGC
rnacentral:rRNA from 1 species